rnacentral:rRNA from 1 species
UCAGGAUGAACGCUGGCGGCGUGCUUAACACAUGCAAGUCGAACGAUGAUCCCAGCUUGCUGGGGGAUUAGUGGCGAACGGGUGAGUAACACGUGAGUAACCUGCCCUUGACUCUGGGAUAAGCCUGGGAAACUGGGUCUAAUACCGGAUACGACCAUCUGGCGCAUGUCAUGGUGGUGGAAAGCUUUUGUGGUUUUGGAUGGACUCGCGGCCUAUCAGCUUGUUGGUGGGGUAAUGGCCUACCAAGGCGACGACGGGUAGCCGGCCUGAGAGGGUGACCGGCCACACUGGGACUGAGACACGGCCCAGACUCCUACGGGAGGCAGCAGUGGGGAAUAUUGCACAAUGGGCGCAAGCCUGAUGCAGCGACGCCGCGUGAGGGAUGACGGCCUUCGGGUUGUAAACCUCUUCAGUAGGGAAGAAGCCGUAAGGUGACGGUACCUGCAGAAGAAGCGCCGGCUAACUACGUGCC